rnacentral:rRNA from 1 species
UACGAAGGGGGCUAGCGUUGUUCGGAUUUACUGGGCGUAAAGCGCACGUAGGCGGAUCUUUAAGUCAGAGGUGAAAUCCCAAGGCUCAACCUUGGAACUGCCUUUGAUACUGGGGAUCUUGAGUCCGGGAGAGGUGAGUGGAACUGCGAGUAUAGAGGUGAAAUUCGUAGAUAUUCGCAAGAACACCAGUGGCGAAGGCGGCUCACUGGCCCGGUACUGACGCUGAGGCGCGAAAGCGUGGGAGCAAACAGGG